AGUACAGAACACCAGAGAGGCUUGUUGCGACUGAGGGGAAGAGCUGGGGUAAUGAAAAAAGGCGGGCGGUUAGAUUGAAACCGAGAGUGACAGAGACACACUGGGUAUUUUAUUUGGAAUUAAUUUGAUUAAUUCCCAAGUUACAGCCUGUUUAGCAUGAAAUUCCCUCUUUUUGUUUCACUGGUGGAUCCAGGGGUGGAGCCAUAGGGGCACUGAAAUCUGAUUGGCCCCUGAAGUGGCCCUGUCCUGUCACUCAUAGCUGAUCUGCGUCAGAGCACUCCGGGAGUCUCCUGCAUAUUGACAGCAGCUCCCUGACGCCCGCAAAUUAUAUACACUAUUCUGGAAAUCGAUUUUUUUUUUAGAUUGAGCGAGAAAGACCAGAAAAUGAUGAUUUAUGAUAGACGGGCUCCGGAGAAACCUAGAGAGCGAGUGACAGAGCGCGUAUCCUGAUUGGUGUUUUAUUUCUGCUACCUAGACCAAUCUGUUUUCUCUGUGGGCGGGCUUUACAGUCGACCUCUCACAGUUCAGUGUACCAAAAAAGAAAAUACAAACGUACGUCACCCCAGAAUAGACUAAAGUGUACCCCUCCCUGAUAGGAGUCAAAAAUAAUGACAGUUUUGCUCGCUGAAGUGACUUUUCGAUUUAGGUUGGUAGUGUGUGCAGUUAGGUGGGCGCUGGUGAGAUGAGAUUUCCGUGGGCAAGGGGGAACCUUCUUGGGGAGUGCUGGUGGUUGGGUAAAUUGAGGGUUUAGGGGGGUGGCGGAUUGGCUCAUGAUGGGGUGCAGCUUGGGGGGUGCUGGUGGUUGAUGAGAUGGGGUUUUUGUUGGGUUUGCGGUGGUGGUGGAGCUACAUCCCUGAAUUGAGUUUUUGCAGGGUAGAAUGUCUGCUACCUCAUCUCACAAUGUCCACUUAAGCUUCAAUGAGGUAGAAAACAUGAAGAUAAAGGAUGAAAAAGGCAUUCUGUGGUUUCUGAACAAAAAGAAGCCCAGGUUGCCUGUCACUGACAAUGACAGCAGUCAGUGUGAGAAGAGGGAGAGAAUGAGGGAGGGUCAAGUGCAGCUCCCAGCCCUUUUCACCAGAUUAGCAAAAUUUUGGCACAGCAAGAUAAGGACAACAGGUUCAGAUGAAGACAGCCAGAGUGUUAGUGAAGGGGGUCAUGAUCCACCAUCUUCAGAACCAGAGUCACCAAGCAGUUCUUCUGGCCCAGUAGGACCUGAUGACAUUUCCCAGUGAAGAGCAGUUGGUUCUGUCCAGACAUCAAAGAAGUAUUCUGCUCCCCUAGGACAAGCUUUGACUGUAAAAGUUUACUCCAAAUCCAGAAAGGGCUUGAACUUUAAGGAACAUUUAAGAAGGUAUACUGUGUCAAAAUGCUAGAGCCAGCAGGAAAGAGAUAAAAUGUAUGUAAAAUUUAUUAAGUCAAUAAUUAGACAUGAUUUUUAAGUCAGUAAUUAGAUUUACAUUAUACUUGGCCCCUCUCUGUAAAGUGUGGCCGCACCAAGGCCCCUGCUUCUAAAAAAAUACUAGAUCUGACAGUGUUUUGUUUUCAUGGAUUGAAAUCCCUCAAGGAUCUGUGGUGGAGUGGUGUGUAGGUCUUUUAAUGUUAUCUGGCUUUUGCUACUCAAGAUAUGCUUAGAGAAAAUUUUUGAGUGUUUUUAUUGUACAUAUAAUAACAUGACCCUGGACAAGGGGUCGGGAACCUUUUUUCACCAAAGAGCCAUUUUUUCAUUUUUGGUUAAUGCAUUUUUUUCAAAAGAGCAAUUGCAAACAUUGCAAAUUUUACAAUUAAUAAAAACACGUUUAAUCAAUAGCAUUUCAAUAACAAUAACUUUAUUCAGGUCCAUAGAUACCAUAAAAACAUACAAAUUGUUCCAUAAAAACAAACAAAUAUGCAACAAACAGUAGGUAACAUGUUGCAAUGUGGAAUUAAUUAUGCAGGGCUUUCACUUUGAUGUUGAGUUUCCACCUGAGCAGCAUAAAACAUAUUCUGUGUGUGUGUCUGUAGACUCAUCCAGGGCAAGAGGAAAAGAAUCUGCCGAAGUUAUAUCCUGGCUGUUUUCCCUCUGUCUCACAUGCCAUCAUGUCAUGCACUGUUUGGGCUGACAGGGGCACGUAUUAUAUUUUCUGCAUGACUUUCUGCUUGUUCGGGAAAUCCGCAAACAGUUCAGUUGCCGUACUCGACAUGCAUGACUUUACAUAUCCUCCGUCAGUAAAAGUUUUCCUUGUCUUAUAAUCUCCAAUGAGCCAGCAACACUUGCAGCAUCCAGGCUUCCAGUUGCCCUUGUCCGGAUUGCCGUUUAUGUUGGAGCUUCGUGCACGCCUUCUUUCGGCUUUUGCCCACCGGGUACUUUGCUGCAAAAGCAAAAUGUCUCUUAACCCUCUUACCUCUAAGUUCCCACAGUAUUAUGUCCCACAACCCUAUAUUCCCCAUAGAAACAGCACGCCAACCCUGAGUUCCUGGACCAAAAUUGGCCCCAAAAUCAACAUUUUAAUUUUAACAGUUUUAGGCCUUGAAAUAACUGAUAAUAAUUUAUUUGUGUAAUAUUACUUUGAAAAUGAAGCAAUUCAGUGUUUUUACUAAACUCAGAGCACAAUUCUUAACUAGAGAAAUUACGAAAAAUGCUCGCUAAAAUCCUUAUACUCCUUUAGAAGUACCAUACGAGCAUCAGCGUGGUCAAUGCUUUGAAUAAAUUCAAGUAAAUAAUAAAUAAAUAAAUAAAUGCAUUUUAGCGCCAAAAGUCAACUUUCUGGUGAUAAUCAGACCAGCAGGUAGUGUUUUCACGAAUGCACAGAAAUGGUCACAUUAUGACUCCAAACCCCUGCAGUGUCAGUCGCACUGGUUGAUGCUGAAGAUGAAGACGAAUCAGGGUCUGAAUCAGGAGAGUUUGCGUCACUAUCAGUUUCGGUUUCGGUUUCAACAUCGCCUGAACUUUCACUGCUGUCACUAUCUAGAAUCCUUGCUCUCGCCUGUGUAACUGUGUAUGUUUUCUUUUUUUCACUGUUUUAGAUGUACCUGUGUUCACUGUAGGUGUAAAUUUAGCUGGAACACGAUUAGCUUUUCGCUUUGGCAUUUUUAGUUAACUUCUACUAUUACACCAAUAUUCACGCUUGGAUCAUCUUCAUCGUAAUGACGGCGUAAUAACAUAAUCACGUCGUGACGUCAUGACAUCAUCAACCUUCCAGGUCAAAAAAUAAUAAUUAAAUAAGUAAGGAAUCAUAGCAGAGUAAUGCCGGUAUACCGGCCUUACGGGGAUAACAUUUACACUGUAAAGCCGCUAUAUCAGCCUUACGGGGAUUUGGCAUAGACGACCAAGCCAGUAUAUCGUCCUUACGGGAACAGAUCAAAGACGGGCAAGCCGGUUUUUCGGCCAUACGGGGUAAGAGGGUUAACAGUUCCUUUUUUUUAAAUGAGGCAAUACAUUCUGUGCAAAUCAGACACAGCAGAGCACCAGAGCUUUCAAUAAAAGCACAUGUUUCCGUCCAAUCACUUUGAAAUUUUCUAUGCUCCUCUGAAUUCUUUCUUUUCACCAUCUCCACAAACUAGCUAGGUAGUUGCUUGAAUCUGAGUGCGAGAGAUUAUCAUAGAAACAUAAGUGGUUUGCCAUUAAUUGGUGUCGUGUCACAUGCACAAAGUACUGCAUACUGUAUGUGCACUGGCUCGAACAACUUGAAAUAUAUUGCUGUAAACUGACUUUUCAUUAACUUCUGAAGGCUGCACAACAAAGGAAUUGUAAUUCACUUUGCAUUUUUUUUUGCAGGAAACUGAUCUCUGGUGAUGUGUCUAAGUUUUUAACAAACAUAUGUUAGUGAAGGGUGAGACACCUGGCAAGCCACAUGAUUUUUGUCAAAGAGCCACAGGUUCCCGACCACCGCCCUGGACGGUCUGGCAGCUAUCUGACAUGUGUCAAUAAAUGUUUUAUUGGUA